UUUUCCGCUCUCUCUCUCUCUCUCUCUCUCUCUCUCUCUCUCUCUCUCUCCCUCUCGGUCUUUCUCCGCCCUCUCUCCCCCGCUCUCUCACGGCCUCUCUCUAGCUGACCCAGGUGAGUAAGAACAGCUCAUCUCGUUACCCUGAGGAUCAUACCGAUGUUUCGUAUGGGGAAUCGAAACAGCGACCAUUCUGGAGCCGGUAAAUGUUGCGGGAGAUGACGAGAGCGAGAGAGGGUGAGUGAGUGAUUGGUACACCGGUUUCAAGC
rnacentral:lncRNA from 1 species